rnacentral:rRNA from 1 species
CAGCCGCCACGGGAAUACGAAGGGGGCUAGCGUUGCUCGGAAUUACUGGGCGUAAAGGGAGCGUGGGCGGAUGUUUAAGUCAGAGGUGAAAGCCCAGGGCUCAACCUUGGAACUGCCUUUGAUACUGGACAUCUUGAGUGUGGGAAAGGUAAGCGGAACUCCGAGUGUAGAGGUGAAAUUCGUAGAUAUUCGGAAGAACACCAGUGGCGAAGGCGGCUUACCGGCCCAUUACUGACGCUGAGGCUCGAAAGCGUGGGGAGCAAACAGGAUUAGAUACCCGCGUAGUCCCUGUCUCUUAUAC